rnacentral:rRNA from 1 species
AACGAACGCUGGCGGCAUGCCUAACACAUGCAAGUCGAACGAGACCUUCGGGUCUAGUGGCGCACGGGUGCGUAACGCGUGGGAACCUGCCCUUAGGUUCGGAAUAACUCCCCGAAAGGGGUGCUAAUACCGGAUAAUGUCUUCGGACCAAAGAUUUAUCGCCUUUGGAUGGGCCCGCGUUCGAUUAGCUAGUUGGUAGGGUAAAAGCCUACCAAGGCGACGAUCCAUAGCUGGUCUGAGAGGAUGAUCAGCCACACUGGGACUGAGACACGGCCCAGACUCCUACGGGAGGCAGCAGUGGGGAAUAUUGGACAAUGGGCGAAAGCCUGAUCCAGCAAUGCCGCGUGAGUGAUGAAGGCCUUAGGGUUGUAAAGCUCUUUUACCCGGGAUGAAAAUGACAGUACCGGGAGAAUAAGCUCCGGCUAACUCCGUG